GAUGAACGCUGGCGGCGUGCCUAAUACAUGCAAGUCGAGCGAACAGACGAGGAGCUUGCUCCUCUGACGUUAGCGGCGGACGGUUGAGUAACACGUGGAUAACCUACCUAUAAGACUGGGAUAACUUCGGGAAACCGGAGCUAAUACCGGAUAAUAUAUUGAACCGCAUGGUUCAAUAGUUAAAGACGGUUUUGCUGUCACUUAUAGAUGGAUCCGCGCCGCAUUAGCUAGUUGGUAAGGUAACGGCUUACCAAGGCGACGAUGCGCAGCCGAACUGAUAGGGUGAUCGGCCACACUGGAACUGAGACACGGUCCAGACUCCUACGGGAGGCAGCAGUAGGGAAUCUUCCGCAAUGGGCGAAAGCCUGACGGAGCAACGCCGCGUGAGUGAUGAAGGUCUUCGGAUCGUAAAACUCUGUUAUUAGGGAAGAACAAAUGUGUAAGUAACUAUGCACGUCUUGACGGUAACUAAUCAGAAAGCCACGGCUAACUACGUG
rnacentral:rRNA from 1 species